GAUGAACGCUGGCGGCGUGCUUAACACAUGCAAGUCGAACGGUGAACGAGGGAGCUUGCUCCCUCCGGAUCAGUGGCGAACGGGUGAGUAACACGUGAGCAAUCUGCCCUGGACUCUGGGAUAAGCGUUGGAAACGACGUCUAAUACCGGAUACGAGAUGCGAAGGCAUCUUCAGCGGCUGGAACGAACUUCGGUCAAGGAUGAGCUCGCGGCCUAUCAGGUAGUUGGUGAGGUAAUGGCUCCCCAAGCCUAGGACGGGUGGCCGGCCUGAGAGGGUGACCGGCCACACUGGGACUGAGACACGGCCCAGACUCCUACGGGAGGCAGCAGUGGGGAAUAUUGCACAAUGGGCGCAAGCCUGAUGCAGCAACGCCGCGUGAGGGACGACGGCCUUCGGGUUGUAAGCCUCUUUUAGCAGGGAAGAAGCGAAAGUGACGGUACCUGCAGAAAAAGCACCGGCUAACUACGUGCCAGCAGCCGCCGUAAAAC
rnacentral:rRNA from 1 species